rnacentral:rRNA from 1 species
GGGGAGCUCCAUGCAGUCGAGCGGAACGAGUUAUCUGAACCUUCGGGGAACGAUAACGGCGUCGAGCGGCGGACGGGUGAGUAAUGCCUAGGAAAUUGCCCUGAUGUGGGGGAUAACCAUUGGAAACGAUGGCUAAUACCGCAUGAUGCCUACGGGCCAAAGAGGGGGACCUUCGGGCCUCUCGCGUCAGGAUAUGCCUAGGUGGGAUUAGCUAGUUGGUGAGGUAAGGGCUCACCAAGGCGACGAUCCCUAGCUGGUCUGAGAGGAUGAUCAGCCACACUGGAACUGAGACACGGUCCAGACUCCUACGGGAGGCAGCAGUGGGGAAUAUUGCACAAUGGGCGCAAGCCUGAUGCAGCCAUGCCGCGUGUGUGAAGAAGGCCUUCGGGUUGUAAAGCACUUUCAGUCGUGAGGAAGGUGGUGUAGUUAAUAGCUGCAUUAUUUGACGUUAGCGACAGAAGAAGCACCGGCUAACUCCGUGCCAGCAGCCGCGGUAAUACGGAGGGUGCGAGCGUUAAUCGGAAUUACUGGGCGUAAAGCGCAUGCAGGUGGUUUGUUAAGUCAGAUGUGAAAGCCCGGGGCUCAACCUCGGAAUAGCAUUUGAAACUGGCAGACUAGAGUACUGUAGAGGGGGGUAGAAUUUCAGGUGUAGCGGUGAAAUGCGUAGAGAUCUGAAGGAAUACCGGUGGCGAAGGCGGCCCCCUGGACAGAUACUGACACUCAGAUGCGAAAAGCGUGGGGAGCAAACAGGAUUAGAUACCCGGGUAAGUCAAA